GAUGAACGCUGGCGGCGUGCCUAAUACAUGCAAGUCGAGCGAACAGACGAGGAGCUUGCUCCUCUGACGUUAGCGGCGGACGGGUGAGUAACACGUGGAUAACCUACCUAUAAGACUGGGAUAACUUCGGGAAACCGGAGCUAAUACCGGAUAAUAUAUUGAACCGCAUGGUUCAAUAGUGAAAGACGGUUUUGCUGUCACUUAUAGAUGGAUCCGAGCCGCAUUAGCUAGUUGGUAAGGUAACGGCUUACCAAGGCGACGAUGCGUAGCCGACCUGUGAGGGUGAUCGGCCACACUGGAACUGAGACACGGUCCAGACUCCUACGGGAGGCAGCAGUAGGGAAUCUUCCGCAAUGGGCGAAAGCCUGACGGAGCAACGCCGCGUGAGUGAUGAAGGUCUUCGGAUCGUAAAACUCUGUUAUUAGGGAAGAACAAAUGUGUAAGUAACUAUGCACGUCUUGACGGUACCUAAUCAGAAAGCCACGGCUAACUACGU
rnacentral:rRNA from 1 species